UGAUAAUGAUGAGGGCAAUACCUGAGGAUAGCCUUGAAUCUUUCCCAAGCUUAGUAAAUAUGCUCUCCGUAUUUCUGCCCAAAACUCAGAAUCUCUCUUCUCAAAUA
rfam:Capsicum annuum cultivar Zunla-1 chromosome 10, whole genome shotgun sequence